UUGACAGACCGUGAAAAAAUUGAUGCAAAUUUUUAAGGUUUAUUCAAUUAUUAUUGAAAUUAAAGGAUAUAUCAUAGGAUAUAUUUACUACAUUUCUCUCUGUACGAUGGCACUUCGAAGCUCACAUCACAAUUGAAUUUUUUCCCAUAAUCGGAAAGUUAGGUUAAUAUUGAAUUUCCAGAUAUGAAAAACAGUUCUCGGACGUGAAUCUGUAUCAAAAUCGGAUGUAUUAACAGAUUGUUUAUUUUGUCACUAAUAAUACUUAUUUUUCAGGCACAUAUAAAUUCAUUAUAUCAAGAAAUGUAUGAAAUUCAUAAAUGUCAAAUAUCAUCUAUCGGAAAGUCUCAAUUUAAAUAAAAAAAGCUUCUUCAGGGGUGAGCUUCUAAGCAAUUGGUUCAGAAGAGUUUCUAUUUGAAGUAUAUGAUCCAUGAGUCAAGGUUACAGAAUGUACUUCAGAUUAAAAUACAUGCAAACUCACAGAAUGAGAAACAUCCUUGAUCUUGGUGUAUGAACAUAAGAAUUUCUAGAUAACAAACGGUUCUUGGGGGCAUAUAUAAAUUUAUCAGAUCAAGAAAUGUAUAAUAUCAUCUCUCGGACGGUGUUAUUUGGUAAAAAAAAAUGUUCUUCAGAGUAAGUUUCUUGAGCAGUUCGUUCAGGAGAGUUUUUAUGUGAAGCAAAUGAUCUAUUUCGAUUGUUUUCAACUGACCACAGCAGAUUUCUGACAACUUUCAAGCAAUUGGGUAGUGUACGGAGAUGAUUUUCUUAGGCUUGAUUUAUGGAAAAAUAUGUUUUGAGAUAAGUUAUUCAGUUGGAAUGAUAUAAUGAUUAUUGAAACACAAUCUAUGAAUGGAAGGAAAAAUGUUUUCGACUAACUUAUUGGAGUGGAAUGAUACAAUGAUUAUUGGAAUACAAUGGCAGGGUGUGUUUUUUGCGUUAAAAUUCUACUUUUAUAGACUUUUGUCCAGUUAUUCUCAUUUCAGGUUAGUUUUUUGUUUC